rnacentral:tRNA from 1 species
GCCUCGGUGGCGUAGUGGUCAAGACGCUCGCCUGGUAAACAGGAGGGCGUGGGUUUGAUCCCAACCGAGGCA